rnacentral:tRNA from 1 species
GGGCCGUUAGCUCAGUGGUAGAGCACCGCAUUUGCAAUGCGGGGGUCGGGGGUUCAAAUCCCCCACGGUCCA